CGGAGUGCGAGUGCCGUUGGGGGAGGGCUAAGUGAGGCUGUUGUGACGAAGUGGUGUUGGUUCCAUGGCGUUAGGGUUGUGGCGCAAUUGCUGCUACGCCCUUGCACUCCACACCCAGCGCUCUUCUCCUCCUCCUCCUCCUUCGUCUUAUCCUUCCUCUGUCAUGCGGCACCCCUUGUCCCCGCGUGCUUGGUGUUGACACCACCGACGCACGUCCGGAUCACAACUAGGGACGGACGGACGUCCAGUUCCAGUUCCAGUUCCAGUUGGAGUUCCAUUUCGAGUUGUCACUGUUUUCAGGGGGUGGAGGAGGAGAGGAGGAGCAGUGGCAGUGGAGGGGUCCGUCGGUCGGUCGGUCGCCAUGUCGGACUUGGAUCGUCAAAUCGAGCAGCUCAAGCGUUGCGAGCCUCUCAAGGAGUCCGAGGUCAAGGCGUUAUGUCUCAAGGCCAUGGAGAUUCUGGUGGAGGAGAGCAAUGUGCAGCGAGUGGACGCACCUGUGACUAUUUGUGGUGACAUACACGGCCAGUUUUAUGACUUGAAAGAGCUCUUUAAAGUGGGAGGAGAUUGUCCCAAGACGAACUAUUUGUUUCUUGGAGACUUUGUCGACAGAGGAUUUUACUCAGUGGAGACUUUCUUAUUAUUACUUGCUCUUAAGGUGCGGUACCCCGAUCGAAUAACUUUGAUCCGCGGAAAUCAUGAAAGUCGCCAGAUUACUCAGGUGUAUGGAUUCUAUGACGAGUGCUUACGGAAGUAUGGUUCAGUAAAUGUCUGGCGUUAUUGCACUGACAUAUUUGACUAUUUGAGUCUUUCAGCACUAAUCGACAAUCGAAUUUUUAGCGUUCAUGGUGGAUUAUCUCCUUCCAUCACCACCAUUGAUCAGAUUCGAACUAUUGAUCGCAAGCAAGAGGUGCCUCAUGAUGGAGCAAUGUGCGAUCUUUUAUGGUCAGAUCCCGAGGAGAUAGAGGGCUGGGGACUUAGCCCACGGGGUGCAGGUUAUUUAUUUGGUGGUAAUGUAGCCACCACAUUUAAUCACACAAAUAAAAUUGAGACCAUUUGUCGAGCACAUCAAUUGGUUAUGGAGGGGUUCAAGUGGAUGUUUAACAACCAGGUUGUCACGGUAUGGUCAGCUCCGAACUACUGCUACAGAAAUAUCAUCUUGGAGCAGAUGUGGUAACGUUGCAGCAAUCCUGGAGCUAGAUGAGCAUCUGAACAGAAAAUUUACUGUGUUUGAGGCUGCUCCCCCUGAAGCCAGGGGGGUGCCAUCAAAGAAGCCUGUACCAGAUUACUUUUUGUAAAGCUUCUCAGAGCCCAAGGUUUGUAGGAUUGAAAUGAUGUGAGGAUUAUUGCAUGGCAGUUUUCUCAGUUUUGUAAAUGGUUGGUGGGAGAUUAUGGACGUACUGCUGGGGUUGCAGUUGAGAGUUGUCACCACGUACUUAUACUACUUUCUUUCUUUAGUACUUUGGUACAUCCCGACCUCCUUGCAGGCAGUUGGUGAUUUCGUUAAAUAUUAGCUCUACAGUUCGUAUCAUAUUUGUAGCAUAUAGGGAGAGGAUAAGGUUUCCACUUUCAGAACCAUAUUGCUUCACUCAGCCUCAGAGUCAUUGUAAGGUCGUAAUCUUGAAUUCCACCGUGUACUUCAAGUCCUUGUAUUUUGGAGAGCAAACUUCAGGUUC